AUCCAACCGAAACCUGGUUCCCCGACUCCCAUCCUCCCUGCCGGGCAGGAAUUGUUUUCCUAUUACAUCCUUCUCUCGCACCUUCCCCGCUUCCCGCAGCAGCCUCCACUGUCCUCACCGUCCCCAUCCUCAUCCAUGGCGAAAUCCUCGCCCCCGGCCUCAUGAAGAUCCAGCACGUCCGCCAUCUUGCCUCCCUUCUUGCUCUCGUCCGUGCCGCUCAGGCACUAGGCACCUCGGGAAACUGUCGCGGAGGGGAAAGGUCGCUAGUCAAGUUGACCAAUCAAAAGCUAAGUCUAAGUCCCGCCCCCGGCGCAGCGAAAAUACGCAAUGGAGGCGGGCCUUAUUCGGGAAGAUGCCGGAAGUGUUCCUGUAGCCAUCUUGAGCAAGUGGUCAGCUGAACAGAGUGGCACUGUUAGGGACAAGGUAACGGGUGGCUGCAGGCAGUGCCCUAUUAAGUAGGGCAGCCGAGGAGAAAUACUACUGCCAGCGGAGCACAGCCGAAUUUCUUUAUUAGAGGAUUGUGUACCGUCUCCUUGGACUCCGUACCAAAUGGAAGUUUGAAGAACGUUUUUUCUCUCAAAACUUCUAGACCUGUAUCCUGCUCUGAAGAGCAGCUGGAUCUGUGAUGGAAACAUUUUAAAAAUAGUUCAGUCCGUAAUGCUGGGUACUGAAGCUGUUUCUGGCUCGUACUGCAGCACCGAAUAUCUCUUAACACUAACAGACCUGGUUGUCCGGGAACUAGCAUUGGUGACACGGGUGUCAACUUCUUAAAAUUUUUUUUGUUGUUAUAAUUUUUUUAAGAUAAACUCUCAAACUCUUCCCACCACCUCUGGGGAUUAAAAAACAAAACAAAAUCAUGGCUUUGAACAAAAUGGGGGCUUUAACCUCUUUGGGAAUGGUGCGUGUAUUUCAUGUUUAAAAACCUAGGCGUUGAAAAAACAAACAAACCUAGGAGUUGAGGCAAAACCCAUAUUGCCCCCAAAUUCUGGAAUCCUGAUGUAAGUAAACCUUUAACAAUAGUGGACUGCAGAUUCAUUUAUUUAUUAAUUUUUUAAUCAAGCCGUUAUGUGACUUUAAUAUUAGAGAAAGUGUGGGCAAUACAAGGCAAAAUAAUCUCAUUAUCAACAAUCACUUUAUAACUACAUUAUGAAAGUGAUAAUUGCUACGACAAAGUGUAAUGGCAGUACAAAGAAAGUUUCUAAUAGGACUGGGAGUAAGAAGGGCUUCCAUUUGAACUGGGCCUUUAAGGCUGGGUAGUUUUCCAGGCCACGCAGCUGUACUGAGAAUAGGAGACACUAAUCCAUUCUCCACAGUAAGUAGUGUGAUCCUUGAAAAAAAAUCAGCUGGUCAUAUCCCUAACAAAACCCUUCCUUGACUUUUUCACUUGGGAAUAAAAUUUGAACUGCCUACUCUGCCUAUUUACAACGACCUCCAUUACCAUUCUGCCUUCUUAUUAAGCUCUCCCUACAUUUUCCCUCAACUGUGCUGUCUCUUUCCCACCUCAGGACUUUUGCAACUUUCUGUUCCUGAUGCUCUUAUUCCAGCUCUUCACAUGGCUCAUUCAACUUCAUCCUUUAGGUCUCCCUAAAAUACUACUUUCUCUACUUUCCUGUCCUUCACUCUUGUUUAUGUCCUUCACAGAACUAGCUUACUACCUUGUUUACUUUCUGACUCGUUUAUUGUCUGAAUUCCCAUUAGAGUGUAAUCCUUAUGGCAGAGACCCUUAAUUACAACAAUAUCCCCAAAGUUUAGACCAGUGUCUAGCUCACAGUAGACAUUUGAUACAUGCUUAUUGAAUGAACAAAUAUCAGAAUGGCAAGAAAUUGUUUGCCUGAUGCUGUGUGGCUAGGAAAUAAAGCUAGAAGUACAGGUUAGGGCCAAAAUGUAUGCCAUGCUAAGGAUAUUGAAAUUUUAUCCCGUAGGCAAGAAUUUCUGUACUUCAAGUAUUUGAGUAUUCAUGAUUUUUCACAACUGUAAAUAGUCCCCAUGCUGUUUCUUGAUUAGUGUUUCUCCUUAUGUAGACUGACUUUUUAAUUAAACAAAUUUUCACUAAAUUUAAAUAUCACUGCCAUAAAUGUAAAAUCUGUAUUUUUUUCUACUACAGUUUCCGAUUAAAAUAUAAAAUAAGUAAAAAUGAAAAAUGUUUGCCCCUCUACCACCUAAAAUCAUCUCAGGUAAUACCAAGGGUUCCCAUAUAAAACUUCGGGGAAUGCUGUUAAGGACAAGGAUAGCUAAGUGAUGGUUUAAGCAAGGUAGUGGUGCACUCCUAAGUAUUUUAGAAAGAAAUCUGACAGUAGUUGAGAGGAUGUUAAGAAUGAAGGCAGAGGCUGGUAAGGAAGCUAUUGCAGUGGUCCAGCCCAGAGAUGAUAAAGGACUGAACUAAGGCAGUGGAUAUGGACAAGACAGAUUAGGAAGUUUAUAUAGGAGGUAAACUCAACAGCAAGUGACUGAUUAGAUCAUGGUAAGGAAUGGACCUAAGGUUCUAAUUUAAGUAACUGGGUAGAUAAUAAUCCUAAUAACAGAUUUGGGGAGUCAAAGAAGAGCAUGUAUGAAAUGGCUUUUAUUUUGAAUAUGUGACUUCAGAGAGCUUGUGUCAUAAAUUCAGGUGGUGAGGGGCACCUGGGUGGCUCAGUCGGUUGAGCGACCAACUUCAGCUCAGGUCAUGAUCUCACUGCUUGUGAGUUCAAGCUCCACAUGCAGCUCUGUGCUGACAGCUCGGAGCCUGGAGCCUGCUUCGGAUUCUGUGUCUCCCUCCCUCUCUGCCCCUCCCCUGCUUGCUCUCUCUCUCUCUUUCAAAAAUAAAUAAACAUUUAAAAAUUUUUAAAAAUAAGAUAAAUUCAGUUGGUGAUGUCAUGGAAAUAUAGAUGUAAAAGCUCAAAAGGGUGAAAGAGAUUGAGAAUGGUGUAUAAGAUAGAGUUGAAGUCACCAUGGUGAGUGAGUUCGCUAGUGGAAAUGGGUAGACCUUGAAAAGAAAGGGUCAGUGACAAAAUCCAGGUUCCUCAAAUGUCUGAAGGGGAAGCAGAAUGCCUUCCCCCAACAGUACAAUCUUAUUUCUGCCACCCAAAAAAUACUAAUCAAAAUUAUCUUUUAGUCUGUUUAUAAAAGAAAGGGUCGUUUUAGAGUUCCUCUGAUACAUAUGUCUUAAGAAAGAGUCAAUCUGGCUCACUAGACAAAAAUCUAUUUUUAAUUGUAUAAAAUUAUACAUAUAAAAUACAUAGAAAGUAGUAAAAAGAUAAGCAAAAUCUUUAACAAUGAAAGUGGACAGAUCAGGGAACAAUUUUUCUCCAGUGCUUUGGGAUCUUAACUGGUUGUUACUUGAGAAAAAUAAUCCAGGAGGUGCAAAGGAGAAGUUCUUCCCACAACUCACACCCCUUCACACUUCUCAGAGAAAGGAGCAUAGGAGAAAUGAGGGUUUAUGAUGUCUGGAUUAUAAAUAUCAAUAAAAACUGGGUAGACAUACCUGUUAUUUAACAUAGGAGCCUCUACUCCUACCCUACAUGUGCUUCGUGGUAUACAGAGAUGGGACUUGGAGAAUUCCAGGAGGUCCCUUUCGAGCACUAAAACAGUUGCUAGAUUCCUUACCACUGAUCCCAUAUGUACUGAUCACCAAGAUGAUUUCAAAAGCAAAAAAGCUGAUUUUCAUCUUAUCCCUGUCUGAUCCAAAAGAGCAAAUUGUGGCUUAUUUCCUAACCUAUUUCUAAAAACAAAGUGUUUAAUCAUAGAAUGGAAAGUCCAAUUUUGCAGAAACAGGAAACGUCCCAACACAUUUUAGAAAGUGCACCGAACUAUAAUAUAGUAUAAAGGAGUUUAUAGAAACAAAGGGAAAACACAUCUUUGAGAGACCUAUAAAAAAUUCUCCCAAAGAGGAAUGCUUUAGCUGUACUCCAGAUAUUUCUCCCCUAUUUCACCCAGGAGAGAGAUUGGGGGUGGGAGGCGGAGAGUCUUAAAAACACAGUUGAUCAUGUAGUCUCUUUUCCCUCCUGCAGUCUCCCCAGGGUUCCAGUUAGGAAGUGCCAUAAUGCCAGUCGCAACUAAUUUUCUUGAUCAACUCCUGCUCUAAUAACCAACGUGGAAGAAGAGGAAAGAAAAGAGAGAAAACAACUGUGAAUCUAUGGACAUCAAAGGUAGCAAACAGCAGCAACUUUGUGAGAGAGGAACACGGCCCUCACCAAAGAGGACAAAUAAUGUUUCCAAAGAGCAACAUGAAGGGAAGAGACAGAGUUGGGAAAUAUGUUUACCUCCUACCCAUUUCUGCAGACAGGAAGGUUUAAACACAGGGCUCAGUGAAGCUGGGUGAGCAGAGAGGAAUGAAGAGGGAAUAUUGGAAGAGGCUUCAAUGCUGAUCCCUUCUGGAGCAAGAACACACCCGGGAAGCUGGUAUGGUAUCUAUGCCCCAGAAGCAACUUAGGUGAUAAACACCUAGUUUUGUGUUUAUAAUUCCUCUCUUCUUCCUGGGAAGUUUCUCAGGAAUAAUUUGAACAAGCAGCUGUCUACUUCCUUCCAAAUUAAUAAAGGAAGUCUCAAAAUGAAGUACCGCUUGGAGGCAGAGGAGGAGUAAGGGAGUGGCGGGAAGCGGUUGGUGGGGAGUCUAGGCAAGGAAAUGUCUAGUCACUGGAGGAACAGCUCAGUACUAAGUAGGCCCAACUCAAGAUAAACUUAAGCCAAAGCCUUCAUACUCGUACCCUGUUUGGAGUCCAAGAGAAAGCAGGAAUGAGGUUGAGGGUGAGGGUGGGGCACACAGACCUUAUUCAAACUCCCUGUUAGAUUAUAAGAACACUUUGUCAAUCAUUUUGUGCUAUUGAAAUGACUACACAGAGCUGGGAGUAUAAGCACCAACAAAGCUCUGAAGACAGCCUGCUCUUUUUACAAAGUGGAAUGAGGAUGUUUCAAAGGAAACUACAUCCAAAAACUAGAAGAAAAGGGAUCUCUCAGCAAAUUGGGAUCUGAGUGUAGAAUUUAUACAUAUACAUAUAUAUAUCUAUAUUUUAAAGUAUAAAAUUGAGAAAGUAUGUACAGAAAUCAUACUAAGUCUUAGAAAAGACAUUAUCAAAAAGAGCCUGGAGAGGAUGGGGAGUAUGUGCAUGGACGCCUAGCAGUUGGAGGAAUGCAUAUUGCCCAACUGCCCAGCGGCCAGCAGGAGAAUAUCUUUCUUCUCCUUGUGGAAGCGCAGCUCCUUGCCUGCCAGCCGAGCUUCGUCCAGCUCCCGCUCAGUAGAGGCCAGCUCUCUAGACAGUGCCCCUGGCACACUCUGCUCCCGGCUCACCCAGUCCAAUGCCAUUUGAUGGCGAAUAUCAUCAUCCAGGGCCCGGUGUGAAUAAUGAGCCAACACUUCCUGCAAGGGGAAAGGAAAAUGAAGGUUACUGACAAAGUCAAGGUUCAUACCAAAUGGACCCAAUGGGAUGAGGAACUCUUAGCCUUGGAGUCCUAACUGAAGUCAGCACGUAAGUCCUUUAAGGAGAUUCUUAAGGGAAACUUCCCCGUGGGGGAAGCAAGGCAGGCAAAAGAGCUACAGUUAAGAUCUAAAUAGGAAAGAUGUUAGGAAUGAAGAGGGUACUUUGAGGCUUUCAGGAUUCACAACCUGGUAACUAUAGGCCUGCUUAUGUCUAACAUAACAGCCACCUCGAAAUAGUCCUUCUGCAAGACUCCUCUCACAGACAGGGUCUCUUACCUGCCGAGAGCACUGUCUCUCCCUCAUGGCCUUAAGGCUGCCAUUCCAGUGCAGCAGCUGAAAAACUGUCAUUAGUUCCUGGAGGAAGAAGACAUGAAGUGCCAGAACAGUGAUUUAUAUUGAGGGUUUGCAUCACAAUUACAUGGGGGACCUUUUACAGAAUGUAUUUACGUAAGCAUCUCUUUUUUUUUUUUUUUAAUUUUUUUUUCAAUGUUUAUUUAUUUUUGGGACAGAGAGAGAAAGAGCAUGAACGGGGGAGGGGCAGAGAGAGAGGGAGACAGAAUCGGAAACAGGCUCCAGGCUCUGAGCCAUCAGCCCAGAGCCCGACGCGGGGCUCGAACUCACAGACCGCGAGAUCGUGACCUGGCUGAAGUCGGACGCUUAACCGACUGCGCCACCCAGGCGCCCCUAUAAGCAUCUCUUAUACCAACUCUGAUGUGCCCUUCAGGGAAGGAAGGUAUUUAUAUAUUGAAAAAUAUUCUAACCUUCUCUCCCUUCCCUUCCAACUGAUGAUCAAUGAGUUAGGGAUUAGAAGGAAAUAUAAUUAAUAUAAUAUAAUAUAAUAUAAUAUAAUAUAAUAUAAAUGCAGGUUGAUCCAUGUUAUGAGAGCCAUAGUACCUGGAACUCCAACAUUGACUUGCCCUUGUUGGAUUCCAGCAUGAAUCGGAAGGCACCAAUCCCUGUGUUUGGGUUGUCAGCUUCCUCCCUGUUGCCCUGUAACAGAGGAAAGGAAAAGACAAAUAGAUUUUCAAUCAGGAUUAUCACCUCAAGCAGCACUGUCCUGUAGAAAUAUAACGCAAGCCCCCAAUCUAAUGUAACAUUUUCUAGUUGCCACGUUAAAGUAAAAAUAAACAGGUAAAAUUAAUGUAAAUAGCAUGUUUUAUUUAAGCUAAUAUAUUCAAAAUAUAAUUUAGCUAUACUUAGCAUAAAAAUUUUUCAUGAAAUUUUUACAUUCUUUUUCUUAUACCAGGGUUUCAAAAUCUGAAGUCUCUUCCACAUUUACAGCACAUCUCGAUUCAUACUAGCCACAUAUCAGGUGUUUAACAGCUACAUGUGGCUGGUGGCUAUUCUGCUGGUCAGCAUAGACCUAGAAGACUCCAAAGUCAUCACACAUAUUAACUCAAGUGACAGAGGUCAAUCUGAUUUUCCCUAUCUUACAAAGAGGGAACACUGAAACAUAGAGAAGAACCCCGAUUUAGCCAAAAUAACAGAGUGAGUCCAACACACAGGAUUGGACUAGCCUAGAGGAUAAUUGGGCAAAUGCAUUUUCAAGGGAAACAGUAGGAGCCAUAAAGCAUAGUAAAUUCUGGGUAGCAGUUUGGCCUCUUAGACAUUUGGCUUGUGUGUUCUAGUGGUUACAUGACCCUGUGGGGAUAGAACUAAGAUUCAUUGCCUGUGCAAACAAACAAUACGGUAUAGACUGGAUCUCCUACUAAUCUUGAGGCCUUGGGGAAGUCAUUUAACCUCUCUGUUCCUGUUUCCUCAUCUGUAAAAUGGGAAUAAUCACAGAUCUAUCUCCUAAGAUUGUUUUGAGAAUUAAAUAAGAAAUUAUUUAAAAAGGGAUAAAUGUGGUUUUAAAACUCCAAUUAUAUAAAAUGUGGUACAUUAUUAUACUAGACUUGGUAUCCAGUUACACAAUCCAAAUCCAUUCUGGUACUGGCUUUGGUUUAGUGGUACUUGAUGGUGGUUUAGUAUUACUGGGGAUAAUUCCAGACCCUGGGGCUGGCUGGGACUUCCAAAAUAAGGGUAGCUGCUAUUUUUUUUUGGUGACCUUUUUGUCAGCCUGAUCUAGGAAAAUAAAACCAGGAGACUUCUGGGAACACAGGAACCCAACUUUCUCCUUCUACUUCCUGACAAGUUGCCUGAUCUUUCUAGCCCAUUCUGCACCACCGUCCCUGCUCCACGCCUCCCAAGAUUCUGCUCUCUUUGAGAAAGGGGACUAGGUAGAAGUGAGGAGCCAAUCAAGUUAUAUCCAAAUUCAGUUUAUUAUGGGGCACUUCUCCAUGGGGCUGUACUGUAUAUGUAUUAUAAUAAUUCCAUGUGCUUAGUAAGUAUACCAUAUGUGCUGGCUUAUUUGUUUUCACUCUGCUAGAAUCAACAAGAAGUCACACAAGAUCAACCCAUAUUAUUUUGUGGCUUCUGAGAAGCAACAUGCCAACCAGUAGUUAAUCUUCAUGGUGAAGCAAAGAACACAAAAUUUGGAUUUAAAAAAGAAAAGCUACAGAGAGGAAGGAAAAAGGUAACCUUCACUAUUAGCAUUUAGGGCCCUGAAGCAAUUAACCUGUUUCAUGGUUGCCUAUAAUCAUUCAAUAUGGUACCUUAUUCAGUACCUCCAGAGUUUUCCAUGAUAUAGUACAUAGAAAGUAAUGAUUAUCUCUGUACAGCCAACUGGGGUAUACAGAAGAAGCUGCGGGCAGAGGAGCCCAUCUAUCCCAGGCCUUGCUCUUGGACAGAGCAUGAGCAGCGGAGGGGCAGAGAAAGAGAGGGAGACACAGAAUCUGAAGCAGGCUCCAGGCUCUGAACUGUCAGCACAGAGCCCGAGGCGGGGCUCGAACUCACAAGCCAUGAGAUCAUGACCUGAACCGAAGUCAGACCCCCAACUGACUGAGCCACCCAGGUGCCCUGAAAUCAAUGUGAUUUGGAGUAUGGCGAUUCCACUGGGAAAUUAAUGAGCAAUCUAUUAAAUUCUCAGUUUUGAGGGGUUAGGCAAAUAGAAAUAUUGGCAGAGAAUAAAAACAAUUUGUUUCCUAAACACUUUGUAGUAGACACUGCUGGUGACUUAGCCGACAUCUGUUUCCUUCUUCCUUACUAUAGAACCUUAAUCUUGUUCUACUACCUACCAUCUCCCAUGUAUCUCCCUCAGGGAAGAGUGAUUUUAUCCUCUAAUUUCAGUGGGUAAAUCCUAACCCAUUUUGCUUGUAAUUGGUUUUAAGGUGGGAAUUCUGGCCAUUAGGAAGUAGAAGGGAGGUCUACUGGCGGGUUUCUGGGAGAAGAUUCCUUACUACUAAAGAGGUACUAAAAGAAGGUCUCAGGGCACCUGACUGGCUCAGUUGGUAGAGCAUGCAACUCAAUCUCAGGGUCUUGAGUUCAAGCCCCACAUUGGGUGUGGAGCCUACCUACUUAAGAAAGAAAGAGAGAAAGAAAGAUGGUGUCUUUCUGUCUUUGAAUAUGGUUACAUCUGUAUUUAAUAUCUGAAAUUCUGUAGUCAUCUUGCACCCUUGCAUCUGAAGGGAGCCAGCUCAAGGACAAAGACAGUAUCUAGAGGAUGGCUGAAUGGAGAGAUGGAAAGAAUUUGGCUAGUAGAUGAUGACAUUCUUGAUCCAUGGAAUCAACCAGCCUUGAAAUCUUCUCUACUUCUGGACUUCCUGUCAUGUUAGAGAGUAAAUUUCCUUUCUUGGUGUAUUCCCUUAAGUCAGUUUGAAGUAAGAUUUUUCUAUUACUUGCAUCCAAAGGCAUCAAAACAGAUAACACGUGCUAAGUGCUUAAAUAUAUUCUCUUCUAUCCAGUAAUCCUACAGGUAUAAUUGUUACAGAUGAGGAAAUUGAGACUUAGAUUAAGUAACUUGCUCAAAGCCACAUAGCUAGUAGAACCAUAAUUUCAAAAUGAUGAAUUCAGAGUCCAUGCUUAUAAGCAUUGCUUUCUAUAAUCCAAACCAGUGUUUCACUUUAUAAUAUAUUAGGUGACUUAAGAGUGAUAAAUGUACUUUCUUAAUUUAAUUGGCUUUGAUCAAUAUAAAAAAUUGUUUUUAUUCCUUGUAGAUACUUCUGACCAGGGCAAAGAGAAAUGGGAGGAAAUCAGAUGGGUAACAGAGGGAAGCCAACUUAUUAUCUAAAGU
rnacentral:lncRNA from 1 species